CCUACGGGUGGCUGCAGUCGAGGAUCUUCGGCAAUGGGCGCAAGCCUGACCGAGCGACGCCGCGUGUGCGAUGAAGGCCUUCGGGUUGUAAAGCACUGUCGAGGGGGAGGAAGCUCCGAAAGGAGUUGACCUAUCCCUGGAGGAAGCACGGGCUAAGUUCGUGCCAGCAGCCGCGGUAAGACGAACCGUGCGAACGUUGUUCGGAAUCACUGGGCUUAAAGGGCGCGUAGGCGGAUCAGCAAGUCCGGGGUGAAAUCUUUCGGCUUAACCGGAAAAGUGCCUUGGAUACUGCUGGUCUCGAGGGAGGUAGGGGUCAUUGGAACUUCUGGUGGAGCGGUGAAAUGCGUUGAUAUCAGAAGGAACGCCUGUGGCGAAAGCGAAUGACUGGAUCUCUUCUGACGCUGAGGCGCGAAAGCUAGGGGAGCGAACGGGAUUAGAUA
rnacentral:rRNA from 1 species